rnacentral:rRNA from 2 species
UUGACCUCGGAUCAGGUAGGGAUACCCA